rnacentral:rRNA from 1 species
UACGUAGGGACCGAGCGUUGUCCGGAAUCAUUGGGCGUAAAGAGCGUGUAGGCGGCUCGCUAAGUCUUGCGUGAAAUCUCGGGGCUCAACCCCGAGCGGUCGUGAGAAACUGGCGGGCUAGAGUGCGGGAGAGGAGAGUGGAAUUCCUGGUGUAGCGGUGAAAUGCGCAGAUAUCAGGAGGAACACCCGUGGCGAAGGCGGCUCUCUGGAACGCAACUGACGCUGAGACGCGAAAGCGUGGGGAGCAAACAGG